rnacentral:lncRNA from 1 species
UCGCCUGUCCUCUUACGGUGGCAACUUGCACCUUUGGGUUCUCAUCCUCAUCAGGCUUUUGGAUUGCUGUAGCAACCUUUGAGUUGAACUUUUGCCAUGAACACCCUGCGCACCAAAACCUUUUGCCUGUUGCACCUUUGGUUUCUCAUCCUCAUCAGGAUUUUGAUUUGUUGUAGCAACCUGUGGGCUUAACUUUUGCCUUGAAACCCUGCACGAAAGCUUUAGCCUUGUUCAAAAUGUCUUCUACCGAAGUGUCGGUUGCCUCUGCCUUCUCCUGAUCUUCUUUAGCUAGAUUAGAAGCCUGUGCUUCUUGCUUUGAAAGCUUCAGUGCCUCUUCUUCCAUCUUCUUAGUUGUUGCAGCAGCUUCGCGUUCCUUUUCAGCUUCCACUCUUUCCUCUUCCUUUGCUUUGGCUUUCUCCAAUAUUUCAGCAUAGGCUUUUCUUCUUCCAUCUUCCGGAAUAGUGCUGCAAAGAAAAUUGCAAAUAACAUAAUG